GAAGAUUUGUCACUGCUGGGACUAUUGAAAGAACUAAAACAUGUUCUAGAGGAAAUCAAAAGAGGAGUUUUAUAAAAAGAGUAGGCAUUGAUAAUAUUCAUGGAACAAGCACACACACUGUUUCUCCAAGUGACAGCUAACAAGGAGCCAUCAAGCAUUGAAAAUUUUUCCAGGGAGAUAAACUAACCAGCAACACCAGUCACAGAUAUGUGAAGAAGACUAUUCAAUUUUCCCCUGAGAAACAAUUCACUAAUCAGAAAUGUCCUCAAUGAUGAUGAGGUACUCUAAUGGAAAGGAUGUAGUUUGGGGAAUAAAACUGACCUGGAAUCAAAUUCUGACUGUGUUCAUCAUUGUUUGUCCACCAUAGAUUUUCGUCUGCCGUGACCACCCUCUUCCCAUGAUGCUUCUGCUUUGAAGCCAGCUGACCAUGGACUGAAACCUCUGAAACUGUGAGCCAAAAUAAACUUCUCCCCCUUUAAGUUGUGAGUGUCAGGUGUUGUGUCCUAGUGAUGGAAAGCUGACUAAUAAUACAGGCUCACUGCCUAGUAUGGGAAUCAACAGUUUCAACAUAGUGCAACAGAAAUUUACUAAGUUAAGUCUAUGUGAAAAAAAUUGAAGAAAGUGUCACUGCACUUUUUCAUGAGAAAGAAGAUAGUUGGAUUGGCUUUUGAAGGAAAGAUAUAAAUUUACCUGUUUUAUAGGGUGGAAGGCAGGGAGAGAAAAAUAUUACAAACAAUGAAACAAUGAAGUUUCUAGAAUGGGAGUUUUACAUAGCAGGUAUUCAGUAAAUGUUUUGGAAGGAAGGAAGAGAACAUGUGCUUUUACAACCAGAGAACAAACUAAUUUUGCGAUAAUGGGUGCUCAGUGGUGAGUCAGGACGUAAGGCUGGUAAGAAGAGGCUGGGUGGUGAAGACCCAAAAUCCAAAGCAGAGUUUGGACUUUAUCCUCUGUGGGAGCUUUUAGAGAUAAGUGAAUUCAUCAGAUUCCUAAUGUAUAAAGACACUGCAUUUCACUGAUUCUAAGAUAUACUUUUAAAAUAUUUGAACAACUCUGAAAGUAAGAUGUACAUUACAGACAAUGGCAUGUCAUAGUUUAAUUGACAGUUGUUUAUUUGCUUUCUUGGUGUAUAAAAUAAUGCUGUUGCUUACAAAUGAUAGCAUCUUCUACAUAGUGAAAAAUUGAAAUUACGGCAGAAGAGUAACAGAGGGACAAUGAAGGGGA
rnacentral:lncRNA from 1 species